UGGAGUAGAGUGGGGUGAAACAGAGCAGCAGAUGGACUGCAGCUUUCCGCACAUCAGCAUAGACUUUAUGUAUGAACUGUCUGUAAAUCAAUUUGCUAUGUCGGUGAGGGGAUUAAACUAGGAACCGCCAUUUUUCUCGUGGAUUUUGCUCUUCACACAUGGGUAGGUUUCCAGCAGGCAGGUGCAAGCCCAGCUGCUGGCCAACACACAUGACAGGACAGUGCUGCUAAAUGCCCCACACACACACACACACACACACACGCACACGCACACACACACACACGCACACACACACGCACACACACACACACACACACACACACACAUACAGCGGCACUGUUGUAACUUGGAAGGCACCCAUCCUCCAUGGUGAAGAUGAGUCGGGACCCCCUGCAGGUGAUCGGCGGACAGGUCAAGGAGAUGCAAGUUUCUUCCAAUGGGGACAACAUAGCAUCAUGGGAGGGGACGCAGGAGUUCGAUCAGGACCACCCGGACCUCGCCGACAAACCAAAACAAGUGACAGGCAGACGGGCCCGCAAGGUGGAAGGAGGCGUGUUCUUUCCCAAGCCCGAGAACGCAGUGACUAUCGCCGUUUCUACAAGAGUUCUGUUCCGAACAGAACGGGAGCAGAAAGUGUAUGAGCAGCACGGUGUGGAGGAGUACCUGAGGUACCAAAUCGAACACGAGAACGAACCCUUCGCCCCCGGACCGGCGUUCCCCUUCGUCAAGGCUCUGGAGGCAGUAAACACUCGGCUUCGUGAGUUGUAUCCGCAAAGUGAGGAGCUGUUCGACAUUGUCCUGGUGACAUACAACCACGCUCAUGUAGGCAUCCGCCUCAUCAACACCAUCAACUAUCACAAUCUGUUCAUAGAGAGGUUUUGCAUGACGGGUGGAAGCAGUCCUAUUGGCUAUCUGAAGGCCUGGCAAACCAACCUCUACCUGUCAGCUGAUGCAGACAAGGUCAGAGAAGCGCUGUCUGAAGGCAUUGCGGCGGCCACCAUGUUCAUGCCAGACAAGCAAACAGAGGUGUCCGAGUCCCAGCUGAGGGUGGCGUUUGACGGCGACGCCGUUCUCUUCUCCGACGAGUCCGAGCGCAUCUUCAAGGCCCACGGGCUGGACAAGUUCUUCGAGCACGAGCGCGAAAACGAGGACACGCUACUUGACCAUGGGCCACUGAAAGGUUUCCUGGAGGCCCUUGGGAAGCUCCAGAAGAAGUUUUACGCAAAAGGCCAGCGCCUGGACUGCCCAAUCCGGACCUUCUUAGUCACGGCCCGGAGCGCGGCCAGCUCCGGGAUCCGAGCCCUGAAGACCCUCAGGGCCUGGGGUCUGGAGAUCGACGAGGCCCUGUUCCUAGCGGGGGCGCCCAAGGGCCCCAUGCUGGAGAAGAUCAGGCCUCACAUCUACUUUGACGACCAGAUGUUUCACGUGGAGGGCGCGACCGAGAUGGGCACCGUGGCCGCGCACGUGCCUUACGGCAUAGCGCAGAAAAACAACGCCCGGCACAAGUCUGGCGUGGGCAAGUAGACAAGAUGGAGCACAAACUGAACCUUUACUAGAAAAACACUUUGAUGUUUCUUACAAAUAGUCUUAUCCUCUAAUGUAGGGGUCUCAAACACACGGCUCGCGAGACGUUAUUUGGCGGCCGGCACCCAUAUUUGAAAAUUUUGUAUUGGUGCGGCCUGCGAGUUUUAUAUGAAUGGCGCUUUACAGUGUCAUACUUGUACACCCUCGAUUUUUCCAGUGGACACCUGUUAGACUCCCGAUUUCCAGUCCCCCUCCAGGGGUAAUCAUUCUCCCGGAUCUCACCAAAACCGGGUGAGAGGCACUGCCUUUACUGUCCUCUACAAACUGCAACAACAGCGUGUCAACCCUGCCGCAUGUUGUAUAAGACUUCAGAGGACUCAGUAAGCGACUGCAAGACAUAGUUGAUCAACAGCCAUACAGGUCACACUGAGGGUGGCCGUAUAAACAACUUUAAAGGGGAACAUUAUCACAAUUUCAAAAGUGUUAAAAACAAUAAAAAGCUUGUUGUAUUUUUUGAAAAUGUUUUCAUAAUUUUACCGGUCCCUGAAUAGCCAUAAAAAACCUUUAAAGUGCUUGAUUUUCGCUAUUUGCAAUGCGACUAUCCAUUUCCCUGUGACGUCAUACAGUGCUGCCAAUGUAAACUGGCAGAUACCACAGCAAGACAUAGUGACAUUAGCUCGGAUUCAGACUCGGAUUUCAGCGGUUUAAGCGAUUCAACAGAUUACGCAUGUAUUGAAACGGAUGGUUGGAGUAUGAAAGUAUUGAAGAAGAAACUGAAGCUAUUGAGCGAAUAGCUAUUGACGCUAUUCAUAGCCAUAGCAUGGCCGAAUAACUGCGUUAGCAUCGACGGUAAAAGGUGCGGACCAAACGAUCAGGACUUUCGCAUCUUGUGACACUGGAGCAACUUAAAUCCGUCGAUUGGUAAGUGUUCUUUUUUGCAUUAAAUGUGGGUGGAAGGAAACGUAAUAUAGUUGCAAAUGCAUCUGCAGGUUAUCCAUACAUCUCUGUGCCAUGUCUGCUUUAGUACCGCCGGUAAAUAGCAUGUUAGUAUCGAUUAGCGUAGCAUGUUAGCAUUGAUUAGCUGGAAGUCACGCCGCAACCAAAUAUGUCUGAUUAGCACAUAAGUCAACAUCAACAAAACUCACCUUUGUGAUUUCGUUGACUUUAUCGUUGCAAAUGCAUCUGGAGGUUAUCCAUACAUCUCUGUGCCAUGCCUGUCAUCCCCGGUAAAAUGUGGAGACACUUUGGUACAUUCAACGGGGAUCUGGCGGCAGACACUUUCGCAUCUUCGGGCCAGUGGUGCAACUUGAAUCCCUCCCUGUUAGUGUUGUUAAACCCUCCGACAACACACCGACGAGCCAUGAUGUCUCCAAUGUUCCAAAAAAUAGUCGAAAAAACGGAAAAUAACAGAGCUGAGACCCAAUGUUUACAAUGUGUUGAAAAUGAAUGGCGGCUGUAUUACCUCGGAGACAUCAACACAUGAGCGAUAAACAGAAAGGCGUUUAAUUCGCCAAAAUUCACCCAUUUAGACUUCGGAAAUCGGUUAAAAAAAUAAAUGGUCUUUUUUCUGCACCAUCAAGGUAUUAAUUGACGCUUACGUAGGUCUGGUGAUAAUGUUCCCUUUUAACACCGUUACAAAUAUGUGCCACACUGGGAACCCACACCAAACAAGAUUGACAAACACAUUUUAGGAGAACAUCCGCACCGUAACACAACAUAAAAACAACACAACAAAUACCCAGAAUCCCAUGCAGCCCUAACCCUUCUGGGCUACAAUAUAUACCCCUGCCCCCAAACCCCCAUUGUAGCCUGGACGAGUUAGGGCUGCAUUGGAUUCUGGGUAUUUGUUCUGUUGUGUUUAUGUUGUGUUACGGUGUGGAUGUUCUCCUAAAAUGUGUUUGUCACUCUUGUUUGGUGUGGAUUCAAAGUAGUGACAUCUUUUAUUAUCAACUCGAAAAUAUUACAAAAAAAACAAAGGGUAUAAGCAAAAGGCGCUCUCAGCGGAGGUAAAACAAAACUAUUACUACAACUUAAAGGCCUACUGAAAUGACAUUUUCUUAUUCAAACGGGGAUAACAGGUUCAUUCUAUGUGUCAUACUUGAUCAUUUCGCGGUAUUGCCAUAUUUUUGCUGAAAGGAUUUAGUAGAGAACAUCGACGAUAAAGUUUGCAACUUUUGGUCCCGAACAAAAAAGCCUUGCCUGUACCGGAAGUAGCAGACGAUGUGCGCGUGACGUCACCGGUUGUAGGGCUCCUCACAUGGUUUACAAUCAUGGCCACCAGCAGCUAGGGCUAUUUGGACCGAGAAAGCGACAAUUUCCCCAUUAAUUUGAGCGAGGAUGAAAGAUUCGUGGAUGAGGAAAGUUAGAGUGAAGCACACAAAAAAAAGAAGAAAAAAAGAAAAGGCAACGGCUCCAGGCGGCGGCAGUGGGAGAGUUUUAGAUGUAAUUAGACACAUUAACAAGGAUAAUUCUGGAAAAUUCCUUAUCUGCUUAUUGUGUUAAUAGUAUUUUAGUAAGAUUAUGAAGUCCUACCUGAAAGUCGGAUGGCUGCGGUGAACGCCAGUGUCUAUGAGAGAAGCCGAGGAGCCAAGAUCACAGCUGCCUUUUUGAGCUGCAGGAUGAGGUCGUGUAAUCCACUCAAGAAUCCGGUAAGAGCCGACUUAAUACCACAAUUUUCCCAUUUAUUUUCAUCAUUUAUUCUCUACAAAAAACCUUCCGUAAAAGGAAAAAAAAAUGUACAACGGAAUGACAGACAGAAAUACCCAUUUUUUAAUAUAUAUAUAUAUAUAUAUAUAUAUACAUAUAUAUAUAUAUAUAUAUACACACAUACAUACAUACAUAUGCAUAUAUUUAUUUAUUAAAGGUAAAUUGAGCAAAUUGGCUAUUUCUGGCAAUUUAUUUAAGUGUGUAUCAAACUGGUAGCCCUUCGCAUUAAUCAGUACCCAAGAAGUAGCUCUUGGUUUCAAAAAGGUUGGUGACCCCUGGUUUAGUUAAAUACCUAUCAAAAUUAGCUACCUCCUAUCAAUAAAGAGUUGAUUUUGUCACUGGCACUAUAAGUAUACGGUAAGUAAUAAGCGGUUAGUUUUUUCCUACGUUUUGAUCCCUGGGGCUUAGUGCACACUUGCCAACCCUCCCGAUUUUCCCGGGAGACUCCGGGAUUUCAGUGCCCCUUUCCCGAAAAUCUCCAUGGGCAACCAUUUUCCCGAAUUUCUCCCGAUUUCCACCCGGAAACAAUAUUGGGGUGCCUUAAAGGCACUGCCUUUAGCGUCCUCUCUCACCUGAAAAGCAGACUAUUAUAUAAGUCUCCGUUAUCUAUAGGUUGAUCUAUAACCCAUAAAGUAGGCAGGCACGGAGCUAUUUCUCAGCGUGUGUUUAUUCCAGCCGGCACGUUAACACACUGACGCACAACAUCCGGAUUCCCAUCAUGCGUUGCUUCAAAACCACGGCAAGUAGUAAUGUCCAAAAACAUAACAGGGACGAAGCAGAGGAACGAAGAAGAGACGUGGCGACGACGAGUAAGAAGAAGAAAUACUCUUGCAAGUUCCAAAAUGAUUGGAAAGAAUUUCAGUUCAUCCAGGACAGCUCGAAGGAGAAGGGGUAUGUGUAGUGAGUCUUAUUCUGCGUUGUGUAGUUUUUUAUAAGUAGGAGACACUCCACCAUUCCGUCGUUUCAUCAUUUAUUGACCACCUUUGUUGGAAACAUGAAACACAUACACAGGUCUCUACUUUUCUGGCGGAGUGAUACCUCAUCAGCAAAAGUCCGAUAGAAGAGGAAGUAAAUAACAUUCAUUCAUUCAUACAAAAAAUAAUAAUUUAAAUGACAUUAACAAAAACGUUUUAUCACAAAAAAAAAGUAUAAUACACAAAUCCACAUACCUUUGUUGGAAACAUGAAACACAUACACAGGUCUCUACUUUUCUGGCGGAUUGAUACCUGCGUAAAUACCAUGUGUAAUUAUGACCAAACAUUUCAAACAUUCGACGCUCUAAUCCUUACUUAACAAAACUGUGCAUAAAAAAAUACUUAAAACCACACAUCACUUAUAAAGUAUUAUGAAAGUUUAGAAAUAAUAUUUACACAAGAAACACAGAGCAAUGAAGAACUAUUACCUCAUCAGCAAAAGUCCGAUUGAAGAGGAAGUAAAAAUCCGAAAAAAAAGCAGAGUCACUUCCUGCACCAGAUAUCCGGUUCUUCAAAAUAAAACCAAUACUUCAAAAUAAAACAUAAGACCCUGUCUCGUUCAUAAUAUAGCGCAACAACGUCACACUAUUACAUUUGCUGGCUGCAAAUUUUGGAAAUCAGACUUCUCCAUUGAACACGCCGGCCGAACAGAUAUACUCAUUCGUGAACGGAUUAUAUAUAUAUAUAUAUAUAUAUAUAUAUAUAUAUAUAUAUAUAUAUAUAUAUAUGAAAUACUUGAAAAUAUAUACACCCCCAGCUACUCAAACCCCCCCACAUCUCCCGAAUUCGGAGGUCCCAAGGUUGGCAAGUAUGGUUUAGCACAUGUAAAGCACUUUGAGUCACUAGAGAAAAGCGCUAUAUAAAUGUAAUUCACUUUAGUGGCCUUGUGGUUAGAGUGCCCGCCCUAAGAGCCGUAGGUCGUGAGUUCAAACCCCCGGCCGAGUCAUACCAAAGACUAUAAAAAUGGGACCCAUUACUUCCCUGCUUGGCACUCAGAAUCAAGGGUUGGAAUUGGGGGUUGAAUCACCAAAAAAUGAUUCCCGGGCGCGGCCACCGCUGCUGCUCACUGCUCCCCUCACCUCCCAGGGGGUGAUCAAGGGUGACGGGUCAAACGCUGAGGAUAAUUUCGUCACACCUAGUGUGGGUGUGACAAUAAUUUAAGAAAUAUUUAUCAACACACACUGAUGAGGACUGCAGUGAUUCUAAAACUAUAAUAUGUGGGCUCCAUCUAGUGGUACGCCAAAGAACCUCUUGAUUAAAGUACAGUUUUUUAUUUUACUAUAUUCGCUGUGUGUAAUAAUACAGUGUCCAAAAGUAUUAACUGCCUCGUUUCUAAUAAAUACUUAACCCUACUAUAUUUUAAUGUUGGUAAUUAUUGUGGGAGUUGGAGAUCCAAGUGUUUUCUGAGGUGUUACUUGGGGGGGAAAGCUCAACAACCACUGGUCAACAGUAUUUCUAUAAGUGCUUUCAACCGGAAGCACAACUGUUUUCUAUUCAUGUUUCUGCUUGUAUGGAUUCUUCAUUCAUCACUCUAAGCAAGGUUUGUAAGUUUUUACAAAUAUUAUUAAAACAAUUCUUACUUAAUAAACCGUCCCAUGUUUGUUGUCCGUCGGAGUGUUUUCAUGCUUAUUUGUAUGUGCUAUCGUAAUGUAAUCAAGCUAGUGUCGUUAGCAUUAGCAAAUAAGCUAGCAUGUUUACAAGUGUCUGUGUUAGUAUUAAACUUGAAAAAUUGCAUUUU